GGUCCGCUGGCUCAAUGGCAGAGCGUCUGACUACGAUGGCAACAAAGGUAAUCAGGAGGUUCCAGGUUCGACCCCUGGGUGGAUCG